rnacentral:rRNA from 1 species
GACGAACGCUGGCGGCGUGCUUAACACAUGCAAGUCGAGCGGUAAGGCCUUUCGGGGUACACGAGCGGCGAACGGGUGAGUAACACGUGGGUGAUCUGCCCUGCACUUCGGGAUAAGCCUGGGAAACUGGGUCUAAUACCGGAUAUGACCUCCUAUCGCAUGGUGGGUGGUGGAAAGAUUUAUCGGUGCAGGAUGGGCCCGCGGCCUAUCAGCUUGUUGGUGGGGUAAUGGCCUACCAAGGCGACGACGGGUAGCCGACCUGCGAGGGUGACCGGCCACACUGGGACUGAGACACGGCCCAGACUCCUACGGGAGGCAGCAGUGGGGAAUAUUGCACAAUGGGCGAAAGCCUGAUGCAGCGACGCCGCGUGAGGGAUGACGGCCUUCGGGUUGUAAACCUCUUUCAGCAGGGACGAAGCGCAAGUGACGGUACCUGCAGAAGAAGCACCGGCUAACUACGUG